AAGUUUUUCUCUACACUUUCUCUCUAGUUGUUUUUCUCUAAAAGCUUUUGACAUUUGUGCUGCUUGGCGGAGCCGGGAAGCUUGCUUAGUAGCUGACGGAGUGAGUUGCUAAGGGGCCACACGGUAACUUCAAUAGAAUGAAGUUGACCUGUGACACGUGGCAAUUCCAACGGAGACAGAACUUGUGCCUCUAAAACAAGAGAACCCUGUAAGCCGGCCUGCUGGAUUUAGCAAGCCGAUGGGAGGUAUCUCCAAAGAGAGAAUGGAUGCCUCUAGACCUGUAAUCCGAGUGAAGGCUGAACUCAUGCCUGUUAAACAAGAAAGUUUCAUCUAUAUGAACAGAAAUCCCCUCAACCCCAACAUGUUGCACUGGAUAGUGGAGGGAACAGGGGAAUAGAGGAUUUUGGCGCAGAGGAUUUGAAGACGUGGAUGUCAUGCACCGUAACACCUACAUUCAACCUUCUCCCUGUCCCGGGAAGGACAUAACUGAUUCGACUGGUGAACCAUAG